rnacentral:rRNA from 13 species
UAGACCGUACCCGAAACCGACACAGGUGGACAGGUAGAGUAUACCAAGGCGCUUGAGAGAACGAUGCUGAAGGAACUAGGCAAAUUGCAUCUGUAACUUCGGAAGAAAGAUGACCUGUAUAUGGGCAACCAUGUGCAGGUGGCACAAGCUAGGGGGUAGCGACUGUUUAUUAAAAACACAGGGCUCUGCAAAGUCAAUAGACGACGUAUAGGGUCUGACGCCUGCCCGGUGCCGGAAGGUUAAGAGGAGGAGUGCAAGCU